GAAAUACAGAGGACAGUGGAAAAUGUCAAACUGCACCAUGAGUAUACAGUCAACAAAAUCCAAAUUGUUGACUCUGGGACUGUGAUGAGGUUUGCAGCUGGCAGGAGAGUAUGAAAAUGUGGCUGCGUACAUCUCCACCUUCCCUUUGGCAAGGAGAUGGAGACUCACAUGAAACUACUCUGGAACUUGAUGCCAAGCAGUGAAGCCAGCCAGAGCCACAUGAUGAAAAAAGUCUCCAUCACCCAAACACCUUUAAAAGAAAACAAGAAAGCUCCUUUCUUCACAUGAGUGUGAGCAAGCACUAAACCUCUACAGUGCCAAGCAACUGAGAUUUAGGUACAAUGCCAGUACCCAAUCCCAUUCUCGUUCUCUUUCUGAUCGAGCUUCCCACAAUGUUGAUGCAGAAAUGGAUGGUGAAGUUGCCACUGUUAUCCAGGAGAAUCAGCACUACUGAGCCCUCACUACUCCGACUCCGGGAACUGGUUGCUCACCACGGAAGCAUCCUCCACCUAGGCUCUCCCUGAUUCCUGAACCCUUGCCCUGCCCAUCAGCAAACUGAUCACCGCAGGAACUCUGUCUACGCACUCCUCAUUAGGGUUUGGUGGUGGGCAAGUGCAGAAGAGGAUAAAGAGAACAUUUUUGAGCAUCCAUUAUGUGUGUAGUAUGCCAUAUGCUCCUUAUACAUCCUCUCAUCUUGAACAUCACCAAACCCCAUCAGGAAAAUAUCAGUAUCCUCACUCUGCGUAAGUGGAAACUUAACACUCACAUAGUUUACCAGCUGGUAAGUGGCAGAAUCUAGAUUCAAACUCACUCUACUGACUAUAAACCCAGUGAUGGUUCAACUCACCGCAAAGUCCUCCUGCACUGACACACACCCAUCCUACCUCCCUGCUGUCAUCUUAGGAUCUCCCUUGGAGUGAGGCUUCUGGAGAGGACAGUGUGGGAGCCUCUCUUUGGAAGCCAAGUCUUUUCACUGAGACCAGAGUGGGUGGAGGAUGUGUAACUGGCCUCUACAUUUAAAAUUUGGAACACAUUUUUUCCAUGGGAAAAAUAUGCAAAGAUGUUCCAUUUUUCAAAAUGUAUGCAAAACCACUUUGUAAACCAUCAAGAGGUACAUAAUAUGCCUAUAAGGAAUUACUAUUCUGCAGUACAUUAGCACUAUAAUUCCAACACGUUGUGGAUUAAAUAACCUUUUGUGAAGUAGUUGGAGAAUUUAACCACUGAGUGUUACAUUGUCUCAAAGGAAAAAUACAUUCCAAUAGCUAAACAACUGACUUACAACAGAUUUUUGGAACCCAAUCCGUUCAUAAACUGGGAACUGCCUGGAUUAGCAUGAAGAGGACACAUCAUCACCAUCUUCAUCAAGUAUUAUUUAUUAAGGGCAGAGCAUGGGGUGAGGGCUUCAGGGUAAAAGAAAAAAAGAAGGGAAGUGUUAAUCUAAUUUUUUAAAUGGCUACAAUUCCACAUCCCUGGUUGUGAAUGAACUCAAGCUGUUCCAAAACAACCCUCUCAUCUUUCUCCUUACUUCCUUCCCCAUUUCACUUAUCUUUUGCUCUCUUUUCUAUUUUCCUCUUACCAUUGUAUAUGUUUUUGUCCAUAUUCCACAUUUAUUCUCGUGUUAAAUAAACUCAUUUCACCACAUCCUUGCCAGCAUUUGUUUUUGCCUGUUUAAUCAGUAAUAACUGUACAUUUU
rnacentral:lncRNA from 10 species